AGAAAUAUAAAAGAAGUCUUCUUAAUAUAUAUUAUUGUGUGUAUAACAAGUAUAUUAAUAAAAAAAAAGAGUGGUCGCGUGUCAUAUGUAUGAAAGCCUAGAAGAAGUCGAAGGGAAAAUAGUGCUCAGAGGAAGCCAUCAGGCACACUUGGACAUAUUUAGAUAUAGUUCACAGGCUCAAUUCAUACCUCCCUACUAAUUGCUCAUUAAGCAAGAUGUUUUAAUCUACAAUGAGAACUUUUGCUCCUUAAAAGUCUUGAUCUCACUUGUCACCGUCUAUAGAUUACAACAAGUCAGGCCACUCGAGCGGCCCUGAAAUCGAUUGCCCCCCUCCCCCGUUCCUCACCUCGCCAUGCAUCGGCUGGGUAGAGCCCAGGUUUAGUUUUCGCAAGUACGUUAACUUGUGUGCAUCCGUUUCGCGAGAGAGUUUUUGCUUGUAGCGUUUUAGACAAUAAUUUGGUUACAUACUACUUGUAUAAAUAUAAUUACCCAAUAAUAAAGUAGUAUGU